AGAGUUUGAUCCUGGCUCAGAAUCAACGCUGGCGGCGUGCCUAACACAUGCAAGUCGAACGAGAAAGUGGAGCAAUCCAUGAGUAAAGUGGCGCACGGGUGAGUAACACGUGACUAACCUACCCAGGAGUGGGGAAUAACUUCGGGAAACCGAGGCUAAUACCGCAUAACACCUACGGGUCAAAGGAGCAAUUCGCUUCUGGAGGGGGUCGCGGCCGAUUAGUUAGUUGGCGGGGUAAUGGCCCACCAAGACGAUGAUCGGUAUCCGGCCUGAGAGGGCGCACGGACACACUGGAACUGAAACACGGUCCAGACUCCUACGGGAGGCAGCAGUGGGGAAUUUUGCGCAAUGGGGGAAACCCUGACGCAGCAACGCCGCGUGGAGGAUGAAGUCCUUCGGGACGUAAACUCCUUUCGAUCGGGACGAUUAUGACGGUACCGGAAGAAGAAGCCCCGGCUAACUUCGUGCCAGCAGCCGCGGUAAUACGAGGGGGGCGAGCGUUGUUCGGAAUUAUUGGGCGUAAAGGGUGCGUAGGCGGUUUGGUAAGUCUGAUGUGAAAUCUAUGGGCUCAACUCAUAGUCUGCAUCGGAAACUGCCGGGCUUGAGUAUGGGAGAGGUGAGUGGAAUUCCUGGUGUAGCGGUGAAAUGCGUAGAUAUCAGGAGGAACACCUGUGGCGAAAGCGGCUCACUGGACCAUAACUGACGCUGAUGCACGAAAGCUAGGGGAGCAAACAGGAUUAGAUACCCUAGUAGUCC
rnacentral:rRNA from 1 species